rnacentral:rRNA from 1 species
UACGUAGGGUGCAAGCGUUGUCCGGAAUUAUUGGGCGUAAAGAGCUCGUAGGCGGUCUGUCGCGUCUGCUGUGAAAACUCAGGGCUUAACCCUGAGCUUGCAGUGGGUACGGGCAGACUAGAGUGCGGUAGGGGAGACUGGAAUUCCUGGUGUAGCGGUGAAAUGCGCAGAUAUCAGGAGGAACACCGGUGGCGAAGGCGGGUCUCUGGGCCGAUACUGACGCUGAGGAGCGACAGCGUGGGGAGCAAACAGG